CGGGAAGAGCUCAAAUUUAAAAUCUGGCGUGCCUCUGGUCGUCCGAAUUGUAGUCUGAAGAAGCGUCUUCUGUGUUGGACCGUGUACAAGUCUCUUGAAACAAGGUAUCAUAGAGGGUGAGAAUCCCGUC
rnacentral:rRNA from 1 species